UGACUUCUCACCUGAUCAGUUGUGCUGUCUUCUGCCCCACCCCAAACCCACCAAACCCCAGCCCAGCCACACAUCUCCAUCACAGCUGAUCAGCAGCAGUCUGGAAGAAUCACACCCAUCAGAUUGACAUGUGAUAGCUACACGUUUGCUGACUGGUUUUUCCUCAUGUCUGCAGGUUCCAUCAACCCCCCUCCAUACUCUCCCCGGGGGGGGGGACAGCACAAUGGAGCCUGCCCCACCCCUCACCCCACCCCUACUUCAGAGCACAACUGAUCAGGCAAGCUGACUUCUCACCUGAUCAGUUGUGCUGUCUUCUGCCCCACCCCCAACCCACCAAACCCCACCCCGCCCCAGCCCCAUAUCUCAAUCACAGCUGAUCAGGUGGUUGCACCAAGCGCUUCACAGAAACAAAGAACUACUAACAGAUAAGAAACAACAAGAGGAAACAAACAAGGAGUUAGAGAGAAACCUCCGAGAGAAACAAGAAGAAAUCCAAGCCAAGCUCCACAACAUGGCAAAGGAAAAAGAGGGGCUGCAAGUCAAGUUUGACCAAGCGCUUCAAGAAAACACAAAACUACUAGCAGAGAAGAAAAAUCAGGGGGCAACACAUAAUGAAAUGCAGGGUAAAAUCGAAGCGCUGGUCAGCAAAAAUAACCACCUGCAAGGACUGUAUAACAAAGUCCCGUUCAAAAAUAGUGAAAUGCAAGAAGAGAAGCGACAACAAGAGAAUAAAAAUAAAGACAUGCAGGCUACUGUUCAAGAACUGGAAAAAAGACAUCAAAAGUUACUGGCCAUCCAUGACAGACCACAACAAACUAGCAACGACAUGCGCGAGGAAAAGAAAGGUCAAGAAGAAAGAUACACAGAUCUGCAAGAAAAGUACAAAGAACUGCAAGAAAAAUAUGAAAAAAGCCAAGACAAAAUUGAACUGGAGAAAAGCACUGAGAAACUUUUCCUUGACAUUACAAACCUCACAGCACAGAACAUCAAACUCCAAGAACUGCUUCAAAAAAAGAAGAAAAAGACUUUCUGGUUUUUCUGGAAGAAGGACUCUUCUUCAGCUGAGCCUGGUCAAGAGUAGCCCCAUCUUAAUCCAACAGGGGAAAAUCAUACAAUAAAUGUUGCAAAUAAAUUCACUGUUCUUUAUGGUCUUAUUUAAUGGUAAAAUUGUUUACAAACAGUAGUAGUGGUUCUUAGGAAAAGCUGAAUAACUUAAACUGAGCUUUCUUUAACAAGACUUCCUGUAUUAAGAUGAGUCGGCAGCUUUCAGUUGGAUAACAGGGACCAGUUUAAAAAUAACUCACCUUAAUUGGAAAAUGAAACAUAAGUAACCUCUCACUUUAAUCAUUUGUCAUCACUUUCUAGUAGAAUGAAUGUAUUAGCUUUGAUUAAACCUUUUAAAUGUGUGACAAAUGAAAAAAGUACAAAACAGGGCAGGGGUCAGUCGGAGCUGCGUAUAUGUUGCUGCUUCUAAAAGCCUCACACAUAUAUGUGGAAUAAUAGUGGAAUUCAUUCACAAUCAUUCUGUAGAGCAUGGAUCUUUGAAACACAGACUUUCACAUGCAGAAGAGAACAGAGAUGAUUAAGAAAACCCCAAACACACAAAAAGGAAGAAUCGUUCAAAGCAGGCAUACCUUAACUUAAAAUCUAAUACUCACACAUCCAACACAAUAUCAGUCUACACAUGUCCCUCAGGAAAUUCACUAUAAUGUAAUGAAAUAAAACAAACUUGAUUCUAUUAUAAGAUGGAGGGUUGUGUUGUUAGAAUAUUUUGGUUUUAGUGAAAGUUUAAACACAUUUUCUUGGUUGUAGCUCAUGAUCCCCCUUUUUGGUUUUUAAAUCAUACUUUAUGUCCCUUUUAGAGAUAGCAGUCCAUGUGUGUCUUUCCUUUACCCAUUAUUCAAUAAAACGAUAAA